rnacentral:rRNA from 2 species
GGUCAAGCGAACAAGUGCAUGUGGUGGAUGCCUUGGCGAUCACAGGCGAUGAAGGACGCGGUAGCCUGCGAAAAGCUACGGGGAGCUGGCAAACAAGCUUUGAUCCGUAGAUGUCCGAAUGGGGAAACCCACUCCUUUUGGAGUAUCCAUGGCUGAAUACAUAGGCCAUGUGAAGCGAACGCGGUGAACUGAAACAUCUAAGUAACCGCAGGAAAAGAAAUCAACCGAGAUUCCCAAAGUAGUGGCGAGCGAAAUGGGAUGAGCCUUGCACUCUUUAUUUGUAUUGUUAGCCGAACGC